AGCGAACGCUGGCGGCAGGCCUAAUACAUGCAAGUCGAACGCCCCUUCGGGGGAGUGGCGGACGGGUGAGUAACGCGUGGGAACGUGCCCUUUGGUUCGGAACAACACAGGGAAACUUGUGCUAAUACCGAAUGUGCCCUUCGGGGGAAAGAUUUAUCGCCAUUGGAGCGGCCCGCGUUGGAUUAGGUAGUUGGUGGGGUAAAGGCCUACCAAGCCUACGAUCCAUAGCUGGGCUGAGAGGAUGAUCAGCCACACUGGGACUGAGACACGGCCCAGACUCCUACGGGAGGCAGCAGUAGGGAAUCUUGCGCAAUGGGCGAAAGCCUGACGCAGCCAUGCCUCGUGAAUGAUGAAGGUCUUAGGAUUGUAAAAUUCUUUCACCGGGGAAGAUAAUGACGGUACCCGGAGAAGAAGCCCCGGCUAACUUCGUGCCAGCCGCCGCAGUAACAC
rnacentral:rRNA from 1 species